UCAGGACGAACGCUGGCGGCGUGCCUAACACAUGCAAGUCGAGCGGGGACACAUAACGGAUAGGAAGUUUCGGAUGGAAUUGAAGAUAUGUGUUCUAGCGGCGGACGGGUGAGUAACGCGUGAGCAACCUGUCCUUCACAGGGGGAUAACACAGCGAAAGUUGUACUAAUACCGCAUAAGACCACGCCGGGGCAUCCCGGAGGGGUCAAAGGAGGAAUCCGGCGAAGGGUGGGCUCGCGUCCGAUUAGAUAGUUGGUGAGGUAACGGCCCACCAAGUCAACGAUCGGUAGCCGACCUGAGAGGGUGAUCGGCCACAUUGGGACUGAGACACGGCCCAAACUCCUACGGGAGGCAGCAGUGGGGAAUAUUGGGCAAUGGGGGGAACCCUGAACCCCCAGCAACGCCGCGUGAGGGAAGAAGGUUUUCGGAUCGUAAACCUCUGUCCUUGGUGAAGAGUGUGAGACGGUAGCCAAGGAGGAAGCCCCGGCUAACUACGUGCCAGCAGCUGC
rnacentral:rRNA from 1 species